rnacentral:sRNA from 1 species
CACCGACGACUUGACGCCCUCGACCGCGAC